rfam:Ictidomys tridecemlineatus contig031162, whole genome shotgun sequence.
GGGGUGAUGGCUCAGUGGUAGAGCGCUUGCCUCGCACGUGCAAGGUCCUGGGUUCGAUUCUCAGCACUACA